CCUACGGGUGGCAGCAGUGAGGAAUAUUGGUCAAUGGACGAGAGUCUGAACCAGCCAAGCAGCGUGAAGGAUGACUGCCCUAUGGGUUGUAAACUUCUUUUAUAUGGGAAUAAAAUGUUCCACGUGUGGGAUUUUGUAUGUACCAUAUGAAUAAGGAUCGGCUAACUCCGUGCCAGCAGCCGCGGUAAUACGGAGGAUCCGAGCGUUAUCCGGAUUUAUUGGGUUUAAAGGGAGCGUAGGUGGAUUGUUAAGUCCGUUGUGAAAGUUUGCGGCUCAACCGUAAAAUUGCCGUUGAAACUGGCAGUCUUGAGUACAGUAGAGGUGGGCGGAAUUCGUGGUGUAGCGGUGAAAUGCUUAGAUAUCACGAAGAACUCCGAUUGCGAAGGCAGCUUACUGGACUGCAACUGACACUGAGGCUCGAAAGUGUGGGUAUCAAACAGGAUUAGAUACCCUUGUAGUC
rnacentral:rRNA from 1 species